GCCCGGAUGGUCUAGUGGUAUGAUUCUCCCUUGUGAUUUGGGAGAGGUCCCGCGUUCGAAUCGCGGUUCGGGCC